rnacentral:rRNA from 1 species
AUGGGCGCCGGGAUUAGGAUCUUGGCGGUGGCGCUGCUGGCGCUCGCGGCUGCCGGCGGCGCGGCGGCGCAGCUCCGGCAGGGCUACUACUCCGCCAGCUGCCCCAACGUGGAGGCCAUCGUGCAGGCCGCGGUCGCCCUCAAGGUCCAGCAGACGCCCGUCGCCGUCGGCGCCACCGUCCGCCUCUUCUUCCACGACUGCUUCGUCCAGGGAUGCGACGCGUCGGUCAUCAUCGUGUCGACGGCGAACAACACGGCGGAGAAGGACCACGUGAGCAACCUCUCCCUCGCCGGCGACGGCUUCGACACCGUCAUCAAGGCCAAGGCGGCCGUGGACACGCAGUGCCCGAGCCCCAACCUGGUCUCCUGCGCAGACAUCCUCACCAUGGCCACCCGGGACGUCAUCGGCCUGGCCGGCGGCCCGGCGUACCCCGUGGAGCUGGGGAGGCUGGACGGGCUGGUGUCGACGGCGAGCAACGUCGACGGGAACCUGCCGCCGCCGUCGUUCAACCUGGACCAGCUGACGGCGAUGUUCGCCGCCAACAACCUGUCCCAGGCCGACAUGAUUGCGCUCUCCGCGGCGCACACGGUGGGGUUCGCGCACUGCGGGACGUUCACGGGCCGGAUCCAGACGGCGGCGGCGGACCCGACGAUGGACCCGGGGUACGCGUCGCAGCUGCUGGCGGCGUGCCCGGCCGGGGUGGACCCCAACGUGGCGCUGGAGAUCGACCCGGUGACGCCGCACGCCUUCGACAACCAGUACUUCAUCAACCUGCAGAAGGGGAUGGGCCUGCUCACCUCCGACCAGGUCCUCUACGCCGACGCCCGCUCGCGCCCCACCGUCGACGCCUGGGCGGCCAACAGCUCCGACUUCGAGGCCGCCUUCGUCGCCGCCAUGACCAGCCUCGGCCGCGUCGGCGUCAAGACGGACCCCGCGCUCGGCAACAUCCGCCGCGACUGCGCCGUGCUCAACAGCUGA